UUACAGCGAGAGGGAUAGUAGCGGCAUCCUUUUGUGAAAGUCCCGAUAUUUAUCAGGACUUUCAUAAAAGAUACUGCGAAUAGCCCGACCCGCA
rnacentral:sRNA from 1 species